CUACGUGCCAGCAGCCGCGGUAAUACGGAAGGUCCAGGCGUUAUCCGGAUUUAUUGGGUUUAAAGGGAGUGUAGGCGGUUUGUUAAGCGUGUUGUGAAAUUUAGGUGCUCAACAUUUAACUUGCAGCGCGAACUGUCAGACUUGAGUACACGCAACGUAUGCGGAAUUCAUGGUGUAGCGGUGAAAUGCUUAGAUAUCAUGAAGAACUCCGAUUGCGAAGGCAGCAUACGGGAGUGUAACUGACGCUUAAGCUCGAAGGUGCGGGUAUCGAACAGGAUUAGAUACCCUGGUAGUCCGCACAGUAAACGUUGGGCACUAGGUGUGGGGGCCACCCGUGGUUUCUGCGCCGUAGCUAACGCUUUAAGUGCCCCGCCUGGGGAGUACGGCCGCAAGGCUAAAACUCAAAGGAAUUGACGGGGGCCCGCACAAGCGGCGGAGCAUGCGGAUUAAUUCGAUGCAACGCGAAGAACCUUACCAAGGCUUGACAUGC
rnacentral:rRNA from 1 species